UCGCAGCGUCACUACGCAUGACGCUGCACCAGCCCGUCCCUGACGCCGCCAACCCCGAGGAGCUGUGCAGCGGUACAGCACUGCCAGUCACACUGACAGCCUGUCUCAGACAGCAGCCAGCCGUAGCCUCACCACUGUGCUGUCCCUUCGUCUCUGGGGCCCGAGUCCAACACUUCCCCUGCACCUAAUUGCUGAUCCCCAGCCAGGGCCGUUUUAGUCUGGUCCUCUGCUCUCUUUGCUUGGACGGCUGGUGGUGCCUUCAGGGCAGGCUGCAUGGACAGACACCGCUGGAUGACGUGACUUGAUGACACCACUGGAAGUCCGACGGGGUUGUCAGCCGGCAUGUCUCAGUGAAUGUCUGACGGCGGGAGAUCCCAGCUGCACUGUAUCAGACUGGAUGAAAUUAAAGAGCUGUUACUUAAACCGCUGUAACAUCACUGUUUUCGCCCCUGUGUAUCGGUCCCUUCAUUCACGCGGUGCAAGCCUGCCAAACUGACACUCCUUCAAUAAAGGAACUCCACCCUCCGAACAUGGCAUCCAGUCUACAACGUUCCACAGCGGAAAAAGAAACUGAACAAAACAGAACAAACGGUCAAAGCAAUGAAGUCCAUUAUCGUGGAUCACCUGCGUGAGGCAGAUAGUGAGCUCAAUGCCCAGGAAGAUGCACGUCUUGAGAGAUUUCUUGCGUCAGAAAAAGAAAUGCAUCAAACUUUUAUGAGGCAGUUAAUGACCAUGCAUGAUAGGCAGAUGACAUUUUUUGAACGCACGUUUGCACGUACCAUAGGGAAUACCACACAAACACAACAGCAAGACACAGCCUACCCACAGCACCCAUAUGGUCCAUACAACUAUGAGCCUCCCUCAAAUCCCCCAACACAAAUCCCGCAAUCCUCAGAAUUUCGGGUAUAUAGACAACUGCCUUAGAGCAGCGGGUUAUAAAACAAUGUUUGUGUUUUAAGGUUCUGUUUGCACUGUAUCCUCAACCCUGAUACCUACAAAUGCAAACAUUAUUUUGAUUUUACAGAGUGCCCUGUUGGCACUUUAAACUUUUAUAUUGUUACCUCAGAAAAUGGGCAGUGGGAUCCAGAUAUUGGGGCUACCUUUUUAUAUUGUUACCUCAGGAAAUGUGCGGCAGUGCGAUCCAAAUAUUGGGGGUAACCCGAUACCUGCCAAACCAAACAUUAGGGUUUUUUUUUUACAGAGUGCCCUGUUUGCACUUUACACUUUUACCUCAGGGCAGGUGUCUUCACCAUGUGGCCCUCUAGCUGUUGUGGAAACACAUAGCAACACAUGCUGGUACAUGUUGUUCCACAACAGCUGGAGGGACACAUGUUAAAGACCCCUUGCGUUAUGUGGAAUUUUACAUGUUUGCACUUAAAUAUUUUAUAAUGUUACCUCAGAAAAUGUGGGCAGUGUGAUCCAAAUAUUGGGGGUAACCCGAUACCUGCCAAACCAAACAUUAGGGUUUUUUUUUUACAGAGUGCCCUGUUUGCACUUUACACUUUUACCUCAGGGCAGGUGUCUUCACCAUGUGGCCCUCUAGCUGUUGUGGAAACACAUAGCAACACAUGCUGGUACAUGUUGUUCCACAACAGCUGGAGGGACACAUGUUGAAGACCCCUUGCGUUAUGUAGAAUUUUACAGUGACAUGUUUGCACUUAAAUAUUUUAUAUUGUUACCUCAGAAAAUGUGUGCCAACUGUUUAAAAGAAAAAAUAUAAUAACA